rnacentral:snoRNA from 1 species
AUAUGUUUGCCAACACUCUGGUGCCAAAUCAUAACACUCUUUGAAGUGAUAUGUGCCAUAUUUGGUUCCUAUUUUGGUGCAAACUAAAUUGAUAAUUAUAGCUGACUACUCACCAUUGCACCCUUUUGCGUAUAUGGGUGUGAUUGGUCCAUUUCAUUAGCAAACAU